UACGUAGGGGGCAAGCGUUGUCCGGAAUCAUUGGGCGUAAAGCGCGUGUAGGCGGCCAGAAAAGUCCGCUGUGAAAACUCGAGGCUCAACUUCGAGCUGUCGGUGGAAACUUUCUGGCUAGAGUCCGGAAGAGGAGAAUGGAAUUCCUGGUGUAGCGGUGAAAUGCGCAGAUAUCAGGAAGAACACCCGUGGCGAAGGCGGGUCUCUGGACAGUUCCUGACGCUGAGGCACGAAGGCCAGGGGAGCAAACGGG
rnacentral:rRNA from 1 species